rnacentral:rRNA from 1 species
GGAAUAUUGGUCAAUGGCCGCGAGGCUGAACCAGCCAAGUAGCGUGCAGGAUGACGGCCCUAUGGGUUGUAAACUGCUUUUAUGCGGGAAUAAAGUGGCGUACGUGUACGCUUUUGUAUGUACCGCAUGAAUAAGGACCGGCUAAUUCCGUGCCAGCAGCCGCGGUAAUACGGAAGGUCCGGGCGUUAUCCGGAUUUAUUGGGUUUAAAGGGAGCGCAGGCCGGAGGUCAAGCGUGACGUGAAAUGUAGCCGCUCAACGGCUGAACUGCGUCGCGAACUGGUAGUCUUGAGUGAGUUCGAUGUUGGCGGAAUUCGUGGUGUAGCGGUGAAAUGCUUAGAUAUCACGAAGAACUCCGAUUGCGAAGGCAGCCAACAAGGCCUUUACUGACGCUAAAGCUCGAAGGUGCGGGUAUCGAACA